AGCUCCGAGGUGAUCGCACACCGAAAUGCAAGUUCGGAGGAGCGCCCUAAUUGGCGCCGGGGCUU
rnacentral:tRNA from 1 species